rnacentral:lncRNA from 1 species
AGCACCCAGUGUUGGUCUCAUAGUGGACGUGUCUGAUGGGAUCUACUUCUUGAGUAAACUGUUGCUGAAUAAAAACAGUCAAAGUGCAAAACCAGAAACUGAGAAAAAGAUCCAUAAAGGGCUCCUCGAAAUCUUCCAACCCAGUUUAAAAGGUUUCUUAGACAACCAAGGGUACCAGAAUUUCUUUUGUUUUUACCAGAACCUCAUUGUGAAACUUCCAGU